rnacentral:rRNA from 2 species
UACGGAGGGUGCAAGCGUUAAUCGGAAUUACUGGGCGUAAAGCGCACGUAGGCUGUUGUGUAAGUCAGGGGUGAAAUCCCACGGCUCAACCGUGGAACUGCCUUUGAUACUGCACGACUUGAAUCCGGGAGAGGGUGGCGGAAUUCCAGGUGUAGGAGUGAAAUCCGUAGAUAUCUGGAGGAACACCAGUGGCGAAGGCGGCCACCUGGACCGGUAUUGACGCUGAGGUGCGAAAGCGUGGGGAGCAAACAGG